rnacentral:rRNA from 1 species
AUUGAACGCUGGCGGCAUGCUUUACACAUGCAAGUCGAACGGUAACAGGGAGCUUGCUCCGCUGACGAGUGGCGAACGGGUGAGUAAUGCGUCGGAACGUGCCGAGUAGUGGGGGAUAACGCAUCGAAAGGUGUGCUAAUACCGCAUACGAACUGAGGUUGAAAGUGGGGGACCUUCGGGCCUCACGCUAUUCGAGCGGCCGACGUCUGAUUAGCUAGUUGGUGAGGUAAAGGCACACCAAGGCGACGAUCAGUAGCGGGUCUGAGAGGAUGAUCCGCCACACGGGGACUGAGACACGGCCCAGACUCCUACGGGAGGCAGCAGUGGGGAAUUUUGGACAAUGGGCGCAAGCCUGAUCCAGCCAUGCCGCGUGUCUGAAGAAGGCCUUCGGGUUGUAAAGGACUUUUGUCCGGGAGCAAAUGCUGGUGGCUAACAUCCACCGGAGCUGAGAGUACCGGAAGAAUAAGCACCGGCUAACUACGUGCCAGCCGCCGCAGUAAGAC